GAAAGGAAGAUUAAUACAAGAAGGUAGACGAUGGGGAUGCGUUCCAUUAGGUAGUAGGCGGGGUAACGGCCCACCUAGCCAACGAUGGAUAGGGGUUCUGAGAGGAAGGUCCCCCACAUUGGAACUGAGACACGGUCCAAACUCUACGGGAGGCAGCAGUGAGGAAUAUUGGUCAAUGGACGAGAGUCUGAACCAGCCAAGUAGCGUGAAGGAUGAGGGUCUACGGAUUGUAAACUUCUUUUAUAAGGGAAUAUGUACCUUAUGAAUAAGCAUCGGCUAACUCCGUGCCAGCAGCCGCGGUAAUACGGAGGAUGCGAGCGUUAUCCGGAUUUAUUGGGUUUAAAGGGAGCGUAGAUGGAUGUUUAAGUCAGUUGUGAAAGUUUGCGGCUCAACCGUAAAAUUGCAGUUGAUACUGGAUAUCUUGAGUGCAGUUGAGGCAGGCGGAAUUCGUGGUGUAGCGGUGAAAUGCUUAGAUAUCACGAAGAACUCCGAUUGCGAAGGCAGCCUGCUAAGCUGCAACUGACAUUGAGGCUCGAAAGUGUGGGUAUCAAACAGGAUUAGAUACCCUGGUAGUCCACACGGUAAACGAUGAAUACUCGCUGUUUGCAAGCGGCCAAGCGAAAGCGUUAAGUAUUCCA
rnacentral:rRNA from 1 species